UGUCAAACAAACAUUGGACUCCACUCCUGUAAAUAAAGAAAUACAAUACAAUAUACAAUCCGUUUUCAGGGUACCACCUGUAGUCUAUUUUUUUCUUCAUAUAUUACCAUCUAAUGUUUCUUGCGUUGAAAUGGCUAUGCGGGUCUUUGUCUAUAACUAUACUGUUAGUGUUUUGUAUUCAAACUUAAAGAUUUAAUAUAGUUUUGUCUAAACCAGCUCACAACAUAGAUCAGUUCUUUCAGGAUCAGCAUUCAAAGCCAUGCAUAGCCUAAUACUAAGGACUGAAUUUUAAAUAAUAAAUGUUUUAAUGGAUUCAGACAUUCAGAGAUGAGCUAGACUUGGCUUCAAACAGUACAGUCACUAUGCUCAGAAGCCCCUGUAGAUUUUCAUCCGCAGUCAUCUAAUUCCACUCCACUGUCCACUGGUAGAGGAGAACAUAAUACAUCCGAUAUGGGUAUCAUGAUGUCCGGGGGGCCUGGUGAUGGCUAGUCCAGUGUGAUGAAACAGUGAAACUGAGGAAUAGAUCCACUGAUACUUCCCUAGUAAGUCUCUCUCUCUCUCUCUCUCUCUCUCUCUGUGAGUGUGUGUGUGUGUGUGUGCACAUCUAAGGGUGUGCAGUUACUUACCCAAGAGCAACAGAAGAUAUGCACUCACCAAGCCCUAAUUGGUUGAACAUGGUUUUGAACAGGAAAUACAGAGCAAAUGCUUUGAAAAUACAGACAUACAACAUUGCUCCUAUCAACGUUGCAGAAAUUAGAUUGCUGUUCAAGUCCUGGAAAUGGAAAUCAGCAAAAGAAGUCACCAGGGAGGUCUUGCAUCAUCAGAGUGGAUGUGCUGGCGGAAUUACAUCACUAAGUAUUUGCUGCAUCCAACUGUGCUGAGCCUCAGAUUUGAACUCUGGCCAGGGGAGAGGCUUCCGGGAACAAGACCUGUGUCAGGGGCGGAAACAUUAAUCACAAGAAGCCAAGAACAUCUCUGAUUGGUGAGAGAUAGAGAUGCCUAUGCUCUGUUUUUAAUAGCUUUUCUAGAACCUUUGCCAGAGGUGAAGGAUAAUUUUACUAAAAGCAUGUUGCCAUCAGUCUCUGAUAACUAGUCAAUACUGAUUUCAUAUCUGGCGGUAUUGUAUACCCUGAUGUAUUUCACUGGCUUGAUAUUUCUAAAUGUUUAUUGCAUCAAAUUCUCUUUCUAAGUGAACAACUUAGAAAUUAAACACAUUGUGUAGUCUUUUGCAAGGAUUUUCACGAAGCCUGAUAACAAAUCUUAUCUGUAAGCAAUAGAGUUAAUUUCCUUUCCAAUGAAGAUAGAGUGCAAUUGCCUUUAAACUGGACCUGUAUCUCCCUCUAGUGGUGAAGUAUUAGAACAUGCUUCACUACCCUAUCCCAAUAGUCUAUUUAUAUUUAUACAAUGUAGCCUACUGUAAUUACACCAAUACAUAGUUAUAUUCUAAUGCUCUUAUACUGUUCUUACUGCACAUAGACUUAUUUUUUACUCCUAUAAUGUAUUGUAUACUGCACAUAUCUGUACUGCAUCUGUCUGGUUCAUACUGA